GGGAUGAACACAAAGGGAAAGAGGAGAGGCACUCAAUAUAUGUUCUGUAGGCCUUUUAGAAAACAUAGAGUUGUUCCUUUGGCCACAUAUAUGCAAAUCUAUAAGAAAGGUGAUAUUGUAGACAUUAAGGGAAUGAGUACUGUUCAAAAAGGAAUGCUUUACAAGUGUUACCAUGGCAAAAGUAGAGGAGUCUACAAUGCCCCCAGCAUGCUGUUGGCACUGUUGUAAACAACAAGUUAAGGGCAAGACUCUUGCUAAGAGAAUCAAUGUGUGUGCUGGGCACAUUAAGCACUCUAAGAGCUGAGAUAGCUUCCUGAAAUGCAUGAAGAAAAAUGAUCAGAAAAAGAAGGUGUACCUGGUGUCAGCCUGCUCCACGCAGAGAAGCACACUUUGUGAGAACUCACGGGAAGGAGCUUGCAUUGCUGGAAGCUAUUUCCUAUGACUUCAU
rnacentral:lncRNA from 1 species